GAGAAUUCCUAGACCGAAAGAAAGAAUAAAACGUAUAAAAUAUAAAAAAAAAAUAUAAAAAAAAAAAAAAAUUAGAAUAAAAUUUUUAAAUUAAAAAAAUUGGGAACUAACGAAAAAGAACCCAAUUUUGUGGUAGGUUUCUUGCUGUUCGGUGUCUCCCAACUGCAUACUCAUCGAAUAUUCCUCAUCUUUUCCAUAUUGCUUUUUUCAUACGGUGUGCGGAAUGGAGAGUAUCCAAGCGCCCUGGCUAUCCUCCGGUAAAACCGUAUCGUGCAUUUCUCCGCGUAAUGGAUUUACAGAUAUGCACACUGAAGAUUAGACGCAUGAUACUUGCUAUUAUUCUUCUCCCUGUGCUCACAUCUUAUAACCAUUUCUCAACACUUAUCUCGAGAUAAGUCAUUUCAUUUCAGUUUUAUUUCUGAUGUAAAUAAAAUCAGCAGCAGUGGCAGUUCGUUAACUCAGCCGCUCCCCCAAUUUGCAUUAAAUAUAAUAGAUAGUUAUCCGAUAAUCUACACAACGACAG
rnacentral:sRNA from 1 species